CUUCGGCGGUUUGGGAACGGCCUGCGCAUGAUUAGCUUGUUGGUGAGGUAAAAGCUCACCAAGGCGACGAUCAUUAGCUGGUCUGAGAGGAUGACCAGCCAGACUGGGACUGAGAACGGCCCAGACUCCUACGGGAGGCAGCAGUAGGGAAUUUUCCACAAUGGGGGCAACCCUGAUGGAGCAACGCCGCGUGCAGGAUGAAGGCCCUAGGGUCGUAAACUGCUUUUAUAUGUGAAGAUUUUGACAAAAAAAAUAUGAAUAAGGAUCGGCUAACUCCGUGCCAGCAGCCGCGGUCAUACGGGGGAUCCAAGCGUUAUCCGGAAUUACUGGGCGUAAAGAGUUGCGUAGGCGGCUAAGUAAGUUAGUAGAUGAAAGCGUGGGGCUCAACCCCAUACACAUUAUUAAAACUACUUUGGCUAGAGGAUGAGAGAGGUGGCUGGAAUUUCUUGUGUAGGAGUGAAAUCCGUAGAUAUAAGAAGGGACACCGAUGGCGUAGGCAGGCCACUGGCUCAUUCCUGACGCUCAGGCUUAACUGAAAGCGUGGGGAGCGUUAACCGGGAUUAGAUACCCCGUUAGUCCACGCCGUAAACGAUGGAUGCUUAAUGUUGGCGGAUUCGACCCCGUCAGCGCCCAAGCUAACGCGUUAAGUGUGCCGCCUGAGGACUACGCACGCAAGGCUAAAACUCAAAGGAAUUGACGGGGGCCCGCACAAGCGGUGGAGUAUGUGG
rnacentral:rRNA from 1 species